rnacentral:lncRNA from 1 species
ACAACAUCACACAACCGAAAACCUGUCAGAUCAAGACCUCACAAAUAGUUGUCAGACGUUGUUUCUUACUUUCUGGGUUACCCAGAUUUCAGCCGGUCAAGCUCGGUCAACGCACUUUGACCAUGAAUAACACACGAUCAAGACAUCUAAUUGCUAUACUAGCACGUUAAGAUUAAAGACAACAUACCAGGCUACAAAUCCAAAACUUAAAACAACAAAAAUCAUAAACGAGCAAGGAUCUGUGAUCACUGACAUUAGGUUGUCAGACCACUUUUCGAGCUCAAGAACAGUUUUGAGAAAAAUCGAUUUUUACCAACUUUGAUGCUAU